UGGCGGCGUGCCUAACACAUGCAAGUCGAACGAGGAAAGCGGGGGCAACUCCGUGAGUAAAGUGGCAGACGGGUGAGUAACAUGUGAACAACCUACCCUGAGUGGGGAAUAACACCGCGAAAGCGGUGCUAAUACCGCAUAAUUUCCUUGGGCCGCAUGGCUUGAGGAUCAAAAGCGAAAGUUGCUUGAGGAGGGGUUCGCGCCUGAUUAGCUAGUUGGUGAGGUAACGGCCCACCAAGGCAACGAUCAGUAGCCGGCCUGAGAGGGCGAACGGCCACACUGGAACUGAGACACGGUCCAGACUCCUACGGGAGGCAGCAGUGGGGAAUUUUGCGCAAUGGGCGAAAGCCUGACGCAGCAACACCGCGUGGAGGAUGAAGGUCUUCGGAUCGUAAACUCCUGUCAGAGGGGAAGAAAGUCUCGCAAGAGGCCUGACUGUACCCUUUGAGGAAGCCACGGCCAACUCCGUGCCAGCAGCCGC
rnacentral:rRNA from 1 species